rnacentral:rRNA from 1 species
UACGGGGGGUGCGAGCGUUGUCCGGAAUCACUGGGCGUAAAGGGCGCGUAGGUGGUUUGAUAAGGGUGUGGUGAAAGUCCGGGGCUCAACCCCGGAUCUGCCGUGCCGACUGUCAAACUCGAGGACUGUAGAGGCAGACGGAAUUCCGGGUGUAGCGGUGGAAUGCGUAGAGAUCCGGAGGAAGACCGGUGGCGAAGGCGGUCUGCUGGGCAGUUUCUGACACUGAGGAGCGAAAGUGUGGGGAGCGAACAGG